UAAAUAAUUAUUGAUUAGAAAUAAAUGGAUUAGUGAAGGUAUACCUAGUAAAUACAUAUUAAUGGUAGGGUUAUUUUUGUCUUGAAAAAAAUAAUUUUCUGCUUCUGCUUCUGAUUUUUUUAAGAAGCAGAAAUUUUCUGUUUCUCCCCGACCGCAGAAAAACUGCUUCUGCUUCUACUUAAAAGCAGUUUUUCUAAUUGGCUAAACACCUCAUACAUUAAAAAAAAUGCUUUUUCACCAAAAAAAAAAAAAAAAAAACACUUUUAGCCUCAAAACCGCUAGGCCAAACAAGCUCUAAGUCAAGUCAAUUGUGUAUUGGACGCGCUGGAGAGAGGUCAUAUCAUUUAUCAAAAAACCAAGAAAACUGGAUCAGUAUAUAAACCACAUCAAGAAAAACUAAGUUCCAUACCAUCUUUCUAUUUUCCUCUGAAUAUUCAAUUAACAACAUGUCGAUAACAAGUUCAUUUUUUGCUAGUGUUUUUCUAUUUGCCACAUUCAUAACAAGCUCUGUAGCCCAUUAUGUAACCCAUGUCGAUCCUCCUCCUACUACUACUACUACUAUUCCAUCAUGUAACCCUCUUUUGUGCGGCGAUACUACAAUACGUACUAUUUGGGUGAUAAAAUUUCUUGUGGGAAUACCAAUAUUGAUUGCAGUUGUGGUGUGGCAGUACAAAAGGCGGAAUUAGCACACAUCGAGUGAUGAUGGUUUUGGGAUUAAUGCUACCUCCAAUGAACAGAACUGUUAGGAUUCUUGAUUGUUGCUAAGCACAUAAUCCGACUUGCAUUAUUGUACUGUUUUUACAAUAAAAGAUUCACCGGUUUUUCAUAACCAAGUUAAACUCGUGUUCACUCUACCCCUGUUUGGAUGGUUGUUUCUGUGGUUCAUUAAUGUAUGAUUUUCUAUGAAA